UCUUCUCUAAACCCUAUGUUCUACAAUUUAUGUAAGUGACUUAGCUACUGCUAUGGUUGGUCCACGGACAUGGAUUUGAGGAAUCUUUAGCUGCACAGGCCCAAGCAUUCUGGAAGCAUCAAAUACGAUUCUAGGCUCACUUCAGUUGAGGAAGAAAGAUAUCAGAGGCUUCAUGAACGUGCGGAUGUACCUUUUGAUGAGACUCGUGCAUAUCAUCAGAAAGCCCUUGCAUAACUGUGGAAUUUAGCACAUCCAGAAGUUACACUUAAAGAAUUGAUCUCUGAGCAGUGGAUGGAAAUGGGUUGGCAAGGAGUUAACCUGUCUCUCGACUUUAGGUAUAAUGUACAGUCCAUUGGAGAAGAUGAUCGUAGAA